rnacentral:rRNA from 1 species
AUUGAACGCUGGCGGCAGGCCUAACACAUGCAAGUCGAGCGGAUGAAGGGAGCUUGCUCCUGGAUUCAGCGGCGGACGGGUGAGUAAUGCCUAGGAAUCUGCCUGGGAGUGGGGGAUAACGUCAGGAAACGGGCGCUAAUACCGCAUACGUCCUGAGGGAGAAAGUGGGGGAUCUUCGGCCCUCACGCUAUCAGAUGAGCCUAGGUCGGAUUAGCUAGUUGGUGGGGUAAAGGCCUACCAAGGCGACGAUCAGUAACUGGUCUGAGAGGAUGAUCAGUCACACUGGAACUGAGACACGGUCCAGACUCCUACGGGAGGCAGCAGUGGGGAAUAUUGGACAAUGGGCGAAAGCCUGAUCCAGCCAUGCCGCGUGUGUGAAGAAGGUCUUCGGAUUGUAAAGCACUUUAAGUUGGGAGGAAGGGCAUUAAGUUAAUACCUUGCUGUUUUGACGUUACCAACAGAAUAAGCACCGGCUAACUUCGUG